rnacentral:lncRNA from 1 species
AGGAUGAUGGAAACAAUCACUCAUCUUCACAAAGCCAUGGUAUUCCUUGAAUAUUUUACAAGUAACACUUGGGUUUGGAAUACUGAUAAUGUCAAUAUGUUAAUGAACCAGCUAAACCCUGAAGAUUAAAAAGAUCUUUAAUAUUGAUAUAUGACAGUUACACUGUGCAGAAUAUAUAGAAAACUACUGCAUGGGUACUAAAAAAUAUGUAUUGAAUGAAGAGAUGUCAGGCCUCCUUGUAGCUAGAAAGCAUCUGAAUAAGUUGCUGAAUAUCUGUUAUGAUUUCAAUACAAUACUUGUGAUACUUAUCUGGUGCAUUUUUGUUGCAAGAUCACAAAUGGCAAGAAACAUCUGGUGUUUUGUGGUUAGUCUGUGUUACAAAUUUCUGUCAAACUUUGAGCAUCCAGCACUAUGAGAUACUGAAGACCAAGAAUUUAGCAUUAGAAUAUCUAUGCAUAUGAUGACCCAAAUGCAUAAAA